rnacentral:rRNA from 1 species
UACGAAGGGGGCUAGCGUUGUUCGGAAUUACUGGGCGUAAAGCGCACGUAGGCGGACUAUUAAGUCAGGGGUGAAAUCCCGGGGCUCAACCCCGGAACUGCCUUUGAUACUGGUAGUCUCGAGUCCGGAAGAGGUGAGUGGAAUUCCGAGUGGUAGAGGUGAAAUUCGAUUAGAUAUUCGGAGGAACACCAGUGGCGAAGGCGGGCUCACUGGUCCGGUACUGACGCUGAGGUGCGAAAGCGUGGGGAGCAAACAGG